AAGUCAGUGAUGUAAUUGGCUGUAUAACAUGGAUAUGUUUCCCCAAGGUUGACAGCUAACCAACCGUGUGACGGACUAAUUAAACACAGUGAACUGUCUAUACAAUCGUGUAUAGCUGUGGAACAGAAGCAAAGAGAGCAAUCCACUAGUAUAAGGACAUGAGGAUUACGGACUGGUGACAGGGACGGAUCCAGGAAUUGCAGUUAUAGGGGGCGCAACUUUAUGAUGCAGGGGGUCUGGGGGCUGUCUUGAGGCCCCCAGUGGGUCCAGGGCUUCACUCUGGUGGGGGUUCAGAGGUCGAAGCCCCGGAAACUCCUGGAUUUCACAGACUUUAUAAGGCUUGAGAUAUGUCUCCUGUAUAGUCAUUUGUACUAUUUUCUGUCAUUUUUGAUAAGGUGAAAUUACUAAAAUGACGCAAAUUCUUAGGCUUUUUGGAAAAAAUGUAAGUUCUCCCAAUAAAAGUAAUUUAAUAAA